rnacentral:rRNA from 1 species
UACGGAGGGUGCAAGCGUUAUCCGGAUUCACUGGGUUUAAAGGGUGCGUAGGCGGACAGGUAAGUCAGUGGUGAAAUCUCUGGGCUUAACCCAGAAACUGCCGUUGAUACUAUUUGUCUUGAAUAUCCUGGAGGUAGGCGGAAUAUGUCAUGUAGCGGUGAAAUGCUUAGAUAUGACAUAGAACACCGAUAGCGAAGGCAGCUCACUAAAGUGUAACUGACGCUGAGGCACGAAAGCGUGGGGAUCAAACAGG